rnacentral:rRNA from 1 species
AUUGAACGCUGGCGGCAGGCCUAACACAUGCAAGUCGAACGGUAACAGAAAGCAGCUUGCUGCUUUGCUGACGAGUGGCGGACGGGUGAGUAAUGUCUGGGAAACUGCCUGAUGGAGGGGGAUAACUACUGGAAACGGUACCUAAUACCGCAUAACGUCGCAAGACCAAAGAGGGGGACCUUCGGGCCUCUUGCCAUCGGAUGUGCCCAGAUGGGAUUAGCUAGUAGGUGGGGUAACGGCUCACCUAGGCGACGAUCCCUAGCUGGUCUGAGAGGAUGACCAGCCACACUGGAACUGAGACACGGUCCAGACUCCUACGGGAGGCAGCAGUGGGGAAUAUUGCACAAUGGGCGCAAGCCUGAUGCAGCCAUGCCGCGUGUAUGAAGAAGGCCUUCGGGUUGUAAAGUACUUUCAGCGGGGAGGAAGGGAGUAAAGUUAAUACCUUUGCUCAUUGACGUUACCCGCAGAAGAAGCACCGGCUAACUCCGUG